GCCAUCACAUGUGCUGUGCUUGGCCUUGGCUUGCCUUUCUCCAGCUUCUUUGGCCUUAACAACUGAUUAAUGACAAGCUGCCACUGAUUACUGUAAUCCACAAAGAAAUUAAGACACAGUGGAUCAAAUCAAGGUGAAUUUCAGUUCUGUUGAUGGUGUUCAUACCAGUGCCUUUUGAGGAUGACAAGCAACAAGCAAGUGAUCCUGUUCCUCAGCUCAGCACUGGUGACACACAUCUGGAGUACUCUAUCCAGUCCUGGGUUCCCCAGUACAUGAAAAACACAGAUUCUGGAUAAAGUCCAAUAAAGGCCAAAACACUAUGGACAGCAGAAUCUCUCCUGAGAGAAGUGGGACCAUAUAGCCCAGAGACAAGAAGGCUCAGGGGGAGGGAGGGUGCAAAGAAGAUGGAGCCAGGCUCUUUCCAGUGAUGCCCUGGGACAGGACCAGAGUCAAAAGGCACAAAGGGAAACACAGGAGGUCCUUUCUGAGCAUCAGGGAACAUCACCUUUGUGCUGUGAGGGUGACAGCACUGGCACAGAUUGCCCAGGCAUGCUGUGCAGCCUCCGUGCUUGGAGGUAUUCCAAAACUGCUUGCUCACAGUCCUGGUCCUGAAGGAUUUGGUUCAUCCACAGGUCCUUGCAUGCACAUUUUUCCAGCUCCUUGUGUAUACAGUUUGAUUAUCUUGGGCACUUCAGAGGAUUCUAGAGGUUUAUUUAUUGGUGACUGAAUCAGACCAAGGUUCUUCACUGUAAUAGUCACUUAGAUAGCUGGGUAAUAUGUAGAAACCAAAGGAUCUUAUUCUUUUGUCAGAUUCCAGGUUCUAAUGUCAAACAUAGAGCUGCUCUUUUAUUGAACACUCAGCACUGCACUAGGGAUUCUUGUAACAGAAGUUCAGGAAACAGUUUUGUUCAGACAACUUCAAAGCUUCUAGAAGUAAAAUUACUAUUUCAGAGUUGAUUUUCUGUAUUUAAUAGCCUGUAAAGCAUAAGAGAGAUGCUGAAUGUCUACAAUCUUCUUACUCAUCUGUUCAGAAAAGGCUGCUGUGGGUAGCAACAAUAGGCUUCUGCCAUUCUUGAGGGGGGGGAAAUAAAAACACAAUUAAUAUGCUUUAGUUGUAUACUACUGCAUGUGGUGCUUUAG